rnacentral:rRNA from 1 species
GCGGAGGAAAAGAAAAUAACAAUGAUUUCCCUAGUAACGGCGAGUGAAGAGGAAAGAGCUCAAAGUUGGAACCUGUUUGGCUUAGCUAAACCGGAUUGUAAACUGUAGAAGUGUUUUCCAGGUACGCCAGGUAAAAAAGUCCUUUGGAACAGGGCAUCAUAGAGGGUGAGAAUCCCGUCUUUGGCCUGAGCUGUUGCCUUUUGUGAUACACUUUCAAAGAGUCAGGUUGUUUGGGAAUGCAGCCUAAAUUGGGUGGUAAAUCUCACCUAAAGCUAAAUAUUUGCGAGAGACCGAUAGCGAACAAGUACCGUGAGGGAAAGAUGAAAAGAACUUUGAAAAGAGAGUUAAACAGUAUGUGAAAUUGUUAAAAGGGAACCGUUUGGAGCCAGAUUGGCUUGACUGUAAUCAACUUAGGCUUUGGCCUGAGUGCACUUGCGGUCUAUGCCUGCCAACGACAGUUUUGUUUGGGGGAAAAAAUUAUAAGGAAUGUGGCCCCUCGGGGUGUUAUAGCCUUAUAAAAAAUACCCUGGAUGGGACUGAGGAACGCAGUGAAUGCCUUUAGGCAAGGUUGCUAGGCGCUUUCGUUGAUAAAUGCUAGAAUUUCUGCUUUGGGUGGUGCUAGUGUUUAAAGAUGAAACUCGUUUGGUAUACUUUUUAUUCGCUUAGGUUGUUGGCUUAAUGACUCUAAAUGAC